GAGGAAGGCGACGAGAAGCUCGGCGGCCAUCGCCGCCAUUUUGGGCUGGGAGGAGGCAGCGGAGGGACUCGCUGCGCAAUGUUUUACAACUGGAUUACAAAAUAGGAUCAUCAUUGACUAGGGUCCUCAAUCCAAAACUGGAACCACUUACUCCUAACUGAAGCUUCAGUACACUUGAUGCCUACUGUGGUUUGAUUUUUUACCUACAUAUGACAUGUUCGCUCUACACUGAUCAAGAGAUCAUCAAGAAAGAAAACCAAGGCACUAGAAAGCAAGCACACUUAAGUAUUGAAGAUAAUUACAUCUUAAAUUUUGCCUGAACUGUAUAUUGUAGCAUACUUAAACCCAUUCAAGGAAAAAAUUGGCAAAUUGAAAAUUCUCCCAUUAAAGAUUGAUAUUUUUGCAAACUGACAAAUUUAACGAUUUCGGUACCCCUCCCCAAAAAUGCAGUCACAUAAAAUAUAUCAAUACUAUUUUGAAUUAGCUCUAGAAAUCACACUGAAACUAUGUUACAUUUACAAAUAUUAAAUUUAUUAUAACUAAAAUGAAUUUAAUUGUUCUCAGAUUUGGCCACCUUAUAGCUCCGUUUAAGGAGGGGAUUUGUUAAAAACAAAAAUGCAUUAUAACUUGGUCAAAUUACUUUCACAUUAAGGAAAAAAACUUCUAAAAAGGAAAACAAGAAAAGCAACUCUUCAGUUUCACAUAAUUAAAAGAACAGGAGAAAGCACGCAAGCUACAUAUAGCUAAAUUUACGAAACCAAAGCCAGGGGGAUUUCUCUUCUGAUUAUGUGUCAUAAAAAGGUCCACUGUCUUAUAUACACAUGUAUAUAAUGUUACAUUCCAUCACUGUAAAAAGUCCCCUUUGCCCCCUCCCCCAAAAAAGUUUCAGUCUAGUCUCCAAACUUGGAAAGCGGCGCUCGCUCCUGCUGCCGGUGCAGUUCGUUCUCGGUCAGCAGCUGGAGGUUCUCGGCGCGCAGCCGGUCCAGCUCCAGCUCCAGCUCCCGCACACGCGCGUCGUCGCCACCCAGCCGCUUGCUCUCCAGCCGCAGCCGGUUGUUCUCGUCCUCCAUGCGCGAGAGGCACUUCUCCAGUUCCAGGUACUCCUUGAUGAGCUCCUGCUUGCUCAUGUUCUGCAGGCUCUCCGUGUGGUACCGCUCGUACGUCUCCGAGAAGUCCCGCUGCAGAAACUCGCUGCCGUCCCCUCCCAUCCCAUCGCUGCCCCCAUCCUCCUCACCCCCUUCUUCCAUGAAGUCGUCAUCGCUGGUGUCGUCGGAUUUGGCGGCGGCCCGCUUGGAGUACAGGCCGGUUUUGAGAUCCGGCUCCUCCUGGUCGUGAUCAUCCAUGAGGAACUGCGUGGUGUUAUAGGGCGCGACCGGCUGGCCCUUGGCGAACAUCUCGGCUCGGAUCCUUGAAGCUCGAAGGCUCUGUUUCUCGUCGAACUUUUUCUUCUCUUCCCAGGUCAGCUUGUAGUACGGUUUCCAAUGCCGCUUCUUCUUGGA